AUUGAACGCUGGCGGCAUGCUUUACACAUGCAAGUCGAACGGCAGCACGAAAGAGCUUGCUCUUUUGGUGGCGAGUGGCGAACGGGUGAGUAAUGCAUCGGAACGUACCGAGUAAUGGGGGAUAACUAUCCGAAAGGAUAGCUAAUACCGCAUACGCUUUGAGAAGGAAAGUGGGGGCUCUUCGGACCUCACGUUAUUCGAGCGGCCGAUGUCUGAUUAGCUAGUUGGUGGGGUAAAGGCCUACCAAGGCGACGAUCAGUAGCGGGUCUGAGAGGAUGAUCCGCCACACUGGGACUGAGACACGGCCCAGACUCCUACGGGAGGCAGCAGUGGGGAAUUUUGGACAAUGGGCGCAAGCCUGAUCCAGCCAUGCCGCGUGUCUGAAGAAGGCCUUCGGGUUGUAAAGGACUUUUGUUAGGGAAGAAAAGGAUAGUGUUAAU
rnacentral:rRNA from 1 species